rnacentral:lncRNA from 10 species
UUUCUCUGACACUGGACAUGGUCAUAUAAAAUCAGGUAUAGAACCUUUUCAAAGACUUCAAAUGGAUUAAUCUCAGAAAAUUUAGGUGGAAUUUUUGGAUUUCAGAUUAUUUACUUCCUUGUAGUUAUAAUUGACUUGGAUUAGUAGGUGCACACAAUGAUUUUUAUCUGUUAAGGUAAAAGAUAAUUUUUAAUGUGACAAAAUUUUCUUUAAAAAUUUUAAUUGGAAAGUAAAACAUUUCCUUUAAUCUACAUGACAUACUUCAUCCUUAAGCUCCUUGAGAGCAGAGAGACCCUAUCUUAUCAUCUCUCCAUUGGUACCACAUAACCCACACCAUUCCUAUUUAUUGAUACCAAUAAUCCUUUCAAUGUAACUAGUAGGCUUUUGAGUAUAUGCACAAAACUGUAACUCUACUAAUAAGCUCUUCUGCCUAUGAGACAUUAUCGCUUUGGAUCAUCCUUAUUUCCAUAACAGUUUGUUCCAUUCUGCCAUUACAAUGCCAGGAUGUAAAGCUCCAGGGGUGCAGGAAUCUUUCUUUUUUGUUUACUACUCUAUCUCCAGCAUCUAGAACAUUGUCUGGCACAGGUAACCACUCAGUAUUUGUUGAAUGUAUGAAUACAUUUUUUUAAGACACAAUGACAAAAUGGCUGCAGAGACUGCUUUUGUUGUAUGGGAUGAAGACCUCAGAUUUAGUGUCAGAAAAUCUCAAUGACUGUCCCAAGCUUGCUAUGAAUUUACUGUGUCAUCUUAGGUGUGCCACUUAAUCUCUCUGUGCUUUUCUUAUAUAUGAAAUGAUUAUAUUAGAUCUGAGGCAUGAUAAACUUCCAUCAACCUUUAAAGGUACGUAAUUCUCUGCUUCAUGAUUAGCAGCAUGCAUUUUCCAAGUGGCUGUCUGGGAACAGAGUUACAUUUUGUGGCAGUGGAACCAGCAUUGCCAACUGGCAUACACAGGCUCGGAAGUAAGAUUUUGGUCUCUUUGGCAGCUAAAAAUUUGGCUCUAACAAAUGAACUAGUCACCAACCUGAUUUUUUAAAAAAUAAGGCUCUUCUAUACUUUGGCAUAGAAAAUUUAUUUAUAAGAACAGGGAAAACUUAUGUUCAUUGCAGCACUAUUCACAAUAGCAAAGACAUGGAAUCAACCCAAAUACUCAUCAAUGGUAGACUGGAUAAAGAAAAUGUGGUACAUAUAUACCAUGGAAUACUAUGCAGCCAUGAAAAGAAAUGAGAUCAUGUCCUUUACAGGGACAUGGAUAGAGCUGGAAGGCAUUAUCCUCAGCAAACUAAUGCAGGAACAUAAAACCAAACACCACAUGUUUUCAUUCAUAAGUGGGAGUUGAACAAUGAGAACACAUGGACACGUGGGGUUGGUCGGGGAAACAACACACACUGGUGUCUGUCCUGGGGAAAGGUGGCGGGAGGGAGAGCAUCAGGAAGAAUAGCUAAUGGAUACUGGGCUUACUACCUAGGUAGUGGGUUGAUCUGUGCAGCAAAGCACCAUGGCACAUGUUUAUCUAUGUAACAAACCUGCACAUCCUGCACAUGUACCCCGGAACUUAAAAGUUGAAGAAAAAAAUAAACUGUGGAAUGUAUUGUUCAGCCAUU